rnacentral:tRNA from 1 species
AGCAGAGUGGCGCAGUGGAAGCGUGCUGGGCCCAUAACCCAGAGUUCCGUGUAUCGAAACCACGCUUUGCUA